rnacentral:rRNA from 1 species
GAUCAUGGCUCAGGAUGAACGCUGGCGGCGUGCCUAACACAUGCAAGUCGAACGAAGCGAUUUAACGGAAAUUUUCGGAUGGAAGUUGAAUUGACUGAGUGGCGGACGGGUGAGUAACGCGUGGGUAACCUGCCUUGUACUGGGGGACAACAGUUAGAAAUGACUGCUAAUACCGCAUAAGCGCACAGUAUCGCAUGAUACCGUGUGAAAAACUCCGGUGGUACAAGAUGGACCCGCGU